AGUCAAAUCUAUUACCAAUCCUCACCAUUGCUUCUUCAAGUUAACAAAAUCAGAUUAUUUACUUCACCAUUUUCCUCCCAACCACUGAUUUUAACUUUAAAAUUCCCUAUAAAUAGUCAUGGAUUCAAUACCAAGAACACACCAACAACAAUAACUCUUCUCUCUAAUCAGAAAAAUUCAGUCUAUAAUCGCCGGAAAAUUGUAACUAAAAGAAAUCAAAAAAAAAAAAAGAAGAGAAAAAAAACCCCCCAAAUUCAUUCUCUCACUCCUCUGUUUCGCCCCCCCCCCAACAACCGACCACCGGUCGCCGCCGGCCGCGCGACGCCGGUCUCGCGCCACGAACCAGUUGCGUCCCCACCUCGUGUCGUUCGCCGACCACCGCGCAGCUCGCCGGAGACCCGCGCCAGCACCCUCACAUUCUCUCUCUCUCUCCCCUUCGCACUCUCUCGCUCCUCUUCUCUUCGCGUGACGCUGCUGCACGCGCAGCACCGCCGACGGGCCGCGCUUGCCGAACCACCGGAUACCACCGCCGGAGAUUGCUGCUGCUCGCCGUCGACCACCGAAGCCGGCGUCCACCUCAGUCGCGAUUCGUCCUCCCUGCUCCUAGUAGCAGAGAUUAAGGAAGAUAAAGGAUAUUACAAGCCUCCCCCGGCUAUCAAGGUUAUUAAGCAGGAAUUCAGGUACCGAUGGUGAUAACGGGAUGGCGUAGCAGUGAGGAUUUAAUUAAUAUCUAGAUUAUCUAGACUCUCAUGGUUUUAAUUUAAGUUUAUGUCAAAACUCUGAUUAGUAACUAAGUUUCUAUUAAUCAAGACUAAUGUUGGAUCUAUAUUAUGCUUCAUGUUAUAAAAUGUUUAAGUUAUGAUUUUAUGUUGCCUUGUAUUUUCCUUAUGGAAAGUACGGCAGUAACGCACCGACU